GCUUGUCUCAAAGAUUAAGCCAUGCAUGUCUAAGUAUAAAUAGUAUACAGUGAAACUGCGAAUGGCUCAUUAAAACAGUUAUAGUUUAUUUGAUAAUGGAAAGUUACAUGGAUAACCGUGGUAAUUCUAGAGCUAAUACAUGCUAUCUGCCCGACUUCUGGAAGGGCUGUAUUUAUUAGAUACUAAACCAAUGCAGCAAUGCAUUGUGGUGAAUCACAGUAACUGAUCGAAUCGGCGCUCUGCGGCGAUAAAUCAUUCAAGUUUCUGCCCUAUCAGCUUUCGAUGGUAGUGUAUUGGACUACCAUGGCAGUCACGGGUAACGGAGAAUUAGGGUUCGGUUCCGGAGAGGGAGCCUGAGAAACGGCUACCACAUCUAAGGAAGGCAGCAGG
rnacentral:rRNA from 1 species